rfam:Lingula anatina scaffold397, whole genome shotgun sequence.
GAGUUUGUCAAAGUGGCUGUGAUUUGGUUGAAAUUAACGCAUAUCACAGCCCGCUUUGACGAGCUUAC